UACGGGGGGGGCAAGCGUUGUUCGGAAUUACUGGGCGUAAAGGGCUCGUAGGCGGCCAACUAAGUCCGACGUGAAAUCCCAAGGCUUAACCUUGGAACUGCGUCGGAUACUGGAUGGCUUGAAUUCGGGAGAGGGAUGCAGAAUUCCAGGUGUAGCGGUGAAAUGCGUAGAUAUCUGGAGGAAUACCGGUGGCGAAGGCGGCAUCCUGGACCGACAUUGACGCUGAGGAGCGAAAGCUAGGGUAGCAAACGGG
rnacentral:rRNA from 1 species